rnacentral:tRNA from 1 species
GGUGGCUUGGUGGUAGAGCGCUUGCUUUGCAUGCAUGAGGCCCUGGGUUCAAUUCCUCAGCACCA